rnacentral:rRNA from 1 species
GUGCCAGCAGCCGCGGUAAUACGUAGGGUGCGAGCGUUGUCCGGAAUUACUGGGCGUAAAGAGCUCGUAGGUGGUUUGUCGCGUCGUCUGUGAAAUUCCGGGGCUUAACUCCGGGCGUGCAGGCGAUACGGGCUGACUUGAGUGCUGUAGGGGAGACUGGAAUUCCUGGUGUAGCGGUGAAAUGCGCAGAUAUCAGGAGGAACACCGAUGGCGAAGGCAGGUCUCUGGGCAGUAACUGACGCUGAGGAGCGAAAGCAUGGGUAGCGAACAGGAUUAGAUACCCUGGUAGUCCAUGCCGUAAACGGUGGGCGCUAGGUGUAGGGGGCUUCCACGUCUUCUGUGCCGUAGCUAACGCAUUAAGCGCCCCGCCUGGGGAGUACGGCCGCAAGGCUAAAACUCAAAGGAAUUGACGGGGGCCCGCACAAGCGGCGGAGCAUGUGGAUUAAUUCGAUGCAACGCGAAGAACCUUACCUGGGCUUGACAUACACCGGAUCGCUGCAGAGAUGUAGUUUCCCUUGUGGCUGGUGUACAGGUGGUGCAUGGUUGUCGUCAGCUCGUGUCGUGAGAUGUUGGGUUAAGUCCCGCAACGAGCGCAACCCUUGUCUUGUGUUGCCAGCACGUUAUGGUGGGGACUCGCGAGAGACUGCCGGGGUUAACUCGGAGGAAGGUGGGGAUGACGUCAAAUCAUCAUGCCCCUUAUGUCCAGGGCUUCACACAUGCUACAAUGGUCGGUACAGUGGGUUGCGAUACCGUGAGGUGGAGCUAAUCCCUUAAAGCCGGUCUCAGUUCGGAUUGGAGUCUGCAACUCGACUCCAUGAAGUCGGAGUCGCUAGUAAUCGCAGAUCAGCAACGCUGCGGUGAAUACGUUCCCGGGCCUUGUACACACCGCCCGUCACGUCAUGAAAGUUGGUAACACCCGAAGCCAGUGGCUCAAACUUGUUAGGGAGCUGUCGAAGGUGGGAUUGGCGAUUGGGACGAAGUCGUAACAAGGUA